rnacentral:rRNA from 1 species
ACUACGGGAGGCAGCAGUGAGGAAUAUUGGUCAAUGGACGCAAGCCUGAACCAGCCAAGCCGCGUGCAGGAUGACGGAUCUAUGAUUUGUAAACUUCUUUUGUAUGGGGGUAAACUGAGGUACGUGUAUCUGUUUGAAAGUAUCGUAUGAAUAAGGAUCGGCUAACUCCGUGCCAGCAGCCGCGGUAAUACGGAGGAUGCGAGCGUUAUCCGGAUUUAUUGGGUUUAAAGGGUGCGUAGGGGGUUCAUUAAGUUAGCGGUGAAGUUGUUGGGCUCAACCCUGAAAGUGCCUUUGAGACUGGUAGACUUGAGAAUAUUUGAGGUAGGCGGAAUGCGUGGUGUAGCGGUGAAAUGCUUAGAUAUCAUGCAGAACACCGAUUGCGAAGGCAGCUUACUAAGCUAUAACUGACGUUGAGGCACGAAAGCGUGGGGAUCAAACAGGAUUAGAUACCCUGGUAGUC